rnacentral:tRNA from 1 species
AAGGGGGUGACAGAUUGGCUAUGUGGUUGACUUGAAAUUAAUAUAGGGGGGUUCAAUUCCCUCCCUCCUUG